rnacentral:misc_RNA from 1 species
GAUGAAGAACGUAGCGAAAUGCGAUACGUAAUGUGAAUUGCAAAUUCAGUGAAUCAUCGAAUCUUUGAACGCACAUUGCGCCCGCCAGCACUCUGGCGGGCAUGCCUGUUCGAGCGUCAUUUCAACCAUCAAGCCCCCAGGGGCUUGUGCUGGGGCCCUGCGGCUGCCCGCAGGCCCUGAAAACCAGUGGCGGGCUCGCUAGUCACACCGAGCGCAGUAGCACAUCUCGCUCAGGGCGUGCGGCGGGCUCCUGCCGUGAAACCCCCCACUGUAACCCCAAAGGUUGACCUCGGAUCAGGUAGGAAUACCCGCUGAACUUAAGCAUAUCAAUAAGCGGAGGA